GACGAACGCUGGCGGCGUGCUUAACACAUGCAAGUCGAACGAAGAGCGAUGGAAGCUUGCUUCUAUCAAUCUUAGUGGCGAACGGGUGAGUAACGCGUAAUCAACCUGCCCUUCAGAGGGGGACAACAGUUGGAAACGACUGCUAAUACCGCAUACGAUCUAAUCUCGGCAUCGAGGAUAGAUGAAAGGUGGCCUCUACAUGUAAGCUAUCACUGAAGGAGGGGAUUGCGUCUGAUUAGCUAGUUGGAGGGGUAACGGCCCACCAAGGCGAUGAUCAGUAGCCGGUCUGAGAGGAUGAACGGCCACAUUGGGACUGAGACACGGCCCAGACUCCUACGGGAGGCAGCAGUGGGGAAUCUUCCGCAAUGGACGAAAGUCUGACGGAGCAACGCCGCGUGAGUGACGACGGCCUUCGGGUUGUAAAGCUCUGUUAAUCGGGACGAAAGGCCUUCUUGCGAAUAGUGAGAAGGAUUGACG
rnacentral:rRNA from 1 species